rnacentral:rRNA from 1 species
GACGAACCGUGCGAACGUUGUUCGGAAUCACUGGGCUUAAAGGGCGCGUAGGCGGGCGGUCAAGUCAGAGGUGAAAUCCCACGGCUCAACCGUGGAAGUGCCCCUGAUACUGACUGUCUCGAGGGAGGUAGGGGCGUGCGGAACUUCCGGUGGAGCGGUGAAAUGCGUAGAUAUCGGAAGGAACACCGAUGGCGAAAGCAGCGCGCUGGACCUCUGCUGACGCUGAGGCGCGAAAGCCAGGGGAGCAAACGGG